rnacentral:rRNA from 1 species
GAUGAACGCUGGCGGCGCGCUUAACACAUGCAAGUCGAACGGUGAACGAGGGAGCUUGCUCCCUCCGGAUCAGUGGCGAACGGGUGAGUAACACGUGAGCAAUCUGCCCUGGACUCUGGGAUAAGCGUUGGAAACGACGUCUAAUACCGGAUACGAGGCGUGGGGGCAUGCCCAACGCCUGGAAAGAACUUCGGUCCAGGAUGAGCGCGCGGCCUAUCAGGUAGUUGGUGAGGUAAUGGCUCACCAAGCCUACGACGGGUAGCCGGCCUGAGGGGGUGCCCGGCCACACUGGGACUGAGACACGGCCCAGACUCCUACGGGAGGCAGCAGUAAGGAAUCUUCCACAAUGGGCGAAAGCCUGAUGGAGCAACGCCGCGUGCAGGAUGACGGCCUUCGGGUUGUAAACUGCUUUUAUACGGGAAGAUUAUGACGGUACCGUAUGAAUAAGGACCGGCUAACUACGUGCCAGCAGCCGCCGUAACAC